rnacentral:rRNA from 1 species
CUAAGGAAUAUUUCCGGCAAUGGACGAAAGUCUGACGGAGCGACGCCGCGUGGAUGAUGAAGGCCGAAAGGUUGUAAAAUCCUUUUGAACUGGAAGAAUAAGCAGUGUAGGAAGUGACAUUGUGGUGACGGUACAGUUUGAAUAAGCAACGGCUAAUUACGUGCCAGCAGCCGCGGUAACACGUAAGUUGCGAGCGUUGUUCGGAAUUAUUGGGCGUAAAGGGCAUGUAGGCGGUUAUCUAAGCUUGGUGUGAAAGGCAGGGGCUCAACUCCUGGACUGCAUUGAGAACUGGAUAACUAGAGUUACUGAAGUGA